rnacentral:rRNA from 1 species
GACGAACGCUGGCGGCGUGCUUAACACAUGCAAGUCGAACGGAAAGGCCCUGCUUGUGUGGGGUGCUCGAGGGGCGCACGGGUGAGUAACACGAGUGUCACCUGCCCUUGACUUUGGGAUCUCUACAGGACACUGGGGCUAAUACCGGAUAGGCGCCUCUGCUGCAUGGUGGGGGUUGGAAAGUUUCGGCGGUGGGGGAUGGACUCGCGGCUUCUCAGCUUGUUGGUGGGGUAGUGGUUUACCAAGGCUUUGACGGGUAGCCGGCCUGAGAGGGUGACCGGCCACAUUGGAACGAGAAUAGGCCCCGAACUCCAACGGGAGGCAGCGGUGGGAAAUUUGGAACAAGGGGCGGAGGCCGGAGGCAGAAACGCCGCGUGCGGGAGGACGGCCUUCGGUUGGUAAACCGCUUUCGCCUGGGACGAAGCGUGAGUGACGGUAAUGGGUAAAGAAGCACCGGCUAACUACGUG